CAGCCUGAGAGCGAACCCACUGCUGAGCACGAAUGCUUCCCUGCACAGACUCAGGACUGCACUGGUAAAGACAUCCUUCUAUUUUGUAGUUGUCUGAGGAGGACAAACUCAGUCUGGUGAUGUCCAAUCUGCCUCUUGGCAAGAUUAAUUUCUAGAUCUUAACUAGAGGGUUCCUCUGCGGGAUUCUACCCAAUUUCUUCUGUGAUUAGUAGAGGUUACUAAUUAUUUCCCUGUAGAAAGCCUCAUAGACCUAUGCAGAGAAAAUACCCCCAAAAAACAAGCAGGUAGGGGAGGGACACAGCCCCUGCUCAGGCGGCGUUGAGUAGAGGCAAAGGUGGGUGGUAUACAUGGUGCCCAUGCCAUGGGCCUCCAGCUGAGCGCCCUCUGUAAGCCUAGCAUUGGUUUCCAGUCUGCAAAGCCUCAAAGCUGCUAGGCUGGAUCUGGGGUCAAGGCAGCAUUUUUUAUACUAGUUUGGUUGCCAAAUAUCCUAAAUAAAUAAUCAAAAUAAAGAUAGUCCUGAAAAGAAACCAAUUCUAUCUAAAAAUAGAGGAGAUCAGAAAGCUGCCAGUGGGGAUAGGUAUUUAAUGGAUUCCCCCAGUUCAAUUGCUGAAACAUUCUUAUCAUGUUUAUAGAAAAAGCAAAUCCAAAUUAAAUAAAAUAAAAUUUCCUACUAUUGCUGUUUGAACUGGGGCUAUAGCAUGAGCUGGGUGUAGAACUGCACUGGACAUCCCAGGAGGCACCAGGUGAUGCUCUGCAGUCUGGAUGCUGUGGUGGCCACUGGGCAGGAGCUGGGCUGGGCUUUCCCCCAAGCACAGAGAAAUCUGAGCCUGAAGGGACCGCCUCAGCCUAGCAUACAAUUGUCAAAGACUUUUCAGCUUCCCAUGCUCUGCCAGCGAGGAGGUGCACAAGAAGCUGGGAGAGAGUACAGCCAGGACAGCUGACCCAGGCUGGACAAAUAUAGCUUCAUACCAUAUCGCAUCAUGCUCAGUAUGUAAACUGGGGAGUUGGCUGGAAUGGGGGAGUGAUCGCUGCUCAGGAAUGGGAUGGGCAUGAUGCAUUGGGAGCAGUGCUGUUGGCUCUUCUGAAUGCACCUGGAGUGGAAUUCAAUCCAGUCUUGAGGUCAAUGUGAAUGUCAGCAUUGCCUAGAUGGUGAGAUCCUACUUGAAAGGUAUGUGAUCCAUAGACUUGGGCUGGUUCACGGCACAGGGUUGAAUGUGACCUUUAGAUUGCUCCUUCUGCUCAUUCGAGACUUUGUACAUUAUCUUUGGGACAUUAAGCACAGCAGGACGCGCUCUCCAGAGAAAUUUUGCAGUGUUGCCAGUACUCCAAUGACUGGUCCUGUGGGACAUCAUGUACUACUUCUAUCCCCAGCUUCUGAAGUCAUGUGAUUAUGGGAGGAUCUCAGCUUUCAUGAUAAUGAAAAGUAGGUUUUCAGCCACUGAGACUGCAGAGAAAAGCUGGCAAAUGUCACCUCCUAAAGGUUCUAGCCUACAUCUUACACUCCUCAACACUUGUCUGUCCAGAGGUGCCAUUGGAGGAGGAUGUUGUUAACCAGUCAGCUGAAGUGUGAGUACUGGGAAUUUUCCAGGGUUACAAAAUGUUUUCCUUACAUCUGCCAAAGCUAACGGCAGCAGUCACUGAACACGUGCCGCUGGAAAAUCACAAAUGGGCUGGCUGCCAAGUAUGCAGAGCUCUUUGGACCGAGGCAUGUCAGGGUCUUGUGAGUGUGAAAGGACAUUGGCAUGUCUGAGUGGGCAAGGCAGCACUCCAGGCUGGCCUUGGGCAUGUGACAGCCCACGACUGUCCCCAGCCAGGAGGACUGGGGCUGAGCCAGGUGCUGCUGACAGAUCUGUACGGCGAGCCUCUACUGCCGGGCUUUGUAUGCGAGGACUGCCUUCUUGCCAUCAGAAGAACACAUUUAUUUUUAAUGGAACAGUUUAAGUGGAAGUCAAGUAGUCAGCAUGGAAUAAACAGACUCAGCUAAUGGCUUGCUGACAUUCACGGUUCAACAGGGACACCUCCUGCACCCCUUGAACACUGUGCCAAGCCAUUAAACCCAUCUCACUUGGCAAUGGAAAUUUGCCAAAAAGAGGUUAAAAGAGAGACACCGAGGAAUUAGUCUACUGAGAGCACAUGAAGAUGAGUAUCAACAGUGUGGUGUGGGAAACUGUAAAUUUAUAUUGCCAAAAUAAGUCCAUACUAGAUCAGACCUAGAACCUGUCUGAUCCUAUAGUUUGUCAUCUGGCAGUGCUCAAAUCCUGGGGAAAGAUACCUGAAGCUAUUGAAGUGUUUCCCGCAGCCUCAGAUGAUUUGUGACACGUGGCACUUGGUGAAGGAGUCCCUUCCCUUGGUUGGACUCGAUGAUCCAAUGGGUCCUUUCCAACCUUGCGGUUCUAUGAUUCUGUGAUUCCCCUGUGGCACUGUAGCAAAAAGGAUCUUUUGUACAACACAGUGAACUGAACAGCUAUCAUAAUGCCUCAUCCAGAGAAAAGGUGGUGGGAAAGGGUGAAUCCAUGUAACUCAGAGAGCUCAUAAUUUUUCAUAGAAUCAUAGAAUGGUUUGGGUUGGAGGGACCUUUAAAGUUCAUCUAGUUCCACCCCCCUUGACAUGGAUAGGAACACUUUCCACUAGAUCAGGUUGCUCAAAGCAUCAUCUAACCUGGCAAUGAACACUUCAGAGAUGUGGCAUCCACAGCUUUUCUAAGAAACCUGUUCCAGUGUUUCACCACCCUCAAUGUAAAAAUGUCUUCCUUACACCCAGUUUUUGUGGUAUCUCUCCAGGUGAGAACCUCAUCUUACAAAUACAGAGAAGACUGCAGUAUUCCCACAGAACACAUACCUUUGUGUAUGACUGCUCUUGUCUGGGUUGAUUUCUAACUCCACGCUUUUGCACUGAAGCCAAGUUCUUCAACUAAAACUAUCUACUUCCACAGGAGAUACUCUAUAGCAUCCAUUUUUUUAUGAUAUGGAUUGCAGGGUGUUGUUUUUGAUUUAUAUCAACUUAAUGGAAAAAUUAAAUGAAGCUCCAUCUUACAGAAGGUUUUGCCAAAACACUUAGGUCCUAAAUUCUGCCUUCCAUUAACAAUAUGCAUUUUAAUGAGGUGCUUGAAAUUUAUAGCUUAAUGUAAAUUAUGUGCAUAUAUGUUAUGUGCCAAGCCUAUAUAUACCUGUUUGAAGGAGCUCCAAAAAAUCCCCAAACCCUCUCUCUUAGAUGUUAACACGAAAGCACGGAGAAGGUAGAAAUUUUAGGCCCUAUGCAUAGGCAAGAAUUUUGUAUGUGCUCGGUGCAGAAAGGAUGAAGGGAGGAAAUAGCAGUGCAUUUAUGCCUUUGCAGAACCAGCCAAGCUGGGACAGCCUCACAGUUCACUGCCUGUGGCCCUCAGAGGUUGUUCCAGCUUUAUGUUUCACUAAUACACACUACCAAAAUGCUGCCUGAGGCUGACAGGCUACCAGAGAGACGGAUUAAACCAGCUACUGGAAAAAUCCCCAGGAAGCUAGUCAAAACACAGCAUUUCCAGCGAUAAAAGGUGAGCAGUAUUAGUUCCUAGAACCGACCCCGGGUUUGAUUGUUUUAAAUUAUAUGCUCAUACACAGACACAUGCGCAGCAGCUGCCCGUGACCCCGAGGUGACAGCACAAUAGGCAUCUCCUACAGCACAGCAGAGCCAGAGGCUUUAAUGUGCUGUACAUACGUAAGGCACACGUUACGCGCAGUGCUCUACUGACGUGCAGAUAUUUGGUGAAGGACACAUUGCAAUGACAGGGGCACCGUAUGCAAAAAUGACCUCUGAGCAAUCACAUAAUUAGGUGACUUAGACUUUCAUUCUAAGCUUUCUAUUCUACAAAAUUUCCUCCAAGUAAAGGGCUCAUUUGUGAAUAUGAUAAAUGGCUCGUGAAAUGGCUUGUACAGCAGGAUGCUUACAAUAAAAUGGGUUUGGAGCAGACAAGGCAGUAUUAUUAUUCCACUGCCUGCCUGGCUUCUUGCCAGCCUUCUGCUGCCUUCUAUCUCCCAUCACAGGAGGCUGGAAAAAUUCCUCCAGGAUUGAUUAACAUGCAAGAGAUCCUGUGAAAAUCGGAGGCGGUAUGAAGGAAGGAGGUGAUGGCUGAAGGGAGAAAUCAGGCUUGCAAGGGCUGACACAAGCAGCUAAGUGCCUGGAGAGCUGGGAGAGUAAUCCCAGUCACUGCAACACGGAACAAGAAAGAAAUCCCAGGCAACUUCUCUCCCUACGACUGCUCCAGCCGUCCCUCAGAAAUGCUGCUUCUCUACAAGAAAAUUUAAAAACAGGUAGUAGAGCCACCUGGCCUGGAGUGUCGUUGGCUCAUAAACUGGUGAAGCACUCCAGGGCAGGAGAUGGACACAUGGCCAUGCUCCCAGAUAACUCCCAGGAACCAGGAUGGUUCCCACCAGGUCAUACAGCCAUCAUGGUUUAGAGGCUGAGGCUUUAGGAGCAGAGUCAGAUAAUAUCAUGUCAGCCGGCAUUCAUUUUCAGGAAGGUCUCCAGCCACUUUUAAUUUACUGCAGCUGAAGCAUAUUGGGAAACUGAAGUUUUCUCCUGUAUUUUAUACCCCAUUUUACACUGGACUUACACUGCCAUUCACCACAUUGAUAAGGCUCUGGAACAACAAGACUUUUUAAAAAUUAAACUGGAAAAAUUCUUACAGUAAAUCUUGGGCUUGAUUUUUAAAAAUCUUUCUAUGAGGGCCGUUUUUUUUACAGACCAUUUGAAGUUCUGCACUUGUCAGGUAGCCUAUAGGAGAUCCUUUUUUCCUGUUUUCUCUGUGAUAUUGUUUUCCCUGGAUGAUUUGGCAUCAUUGGAACAUCCUCAUAUGGCAUCCGUUGCAACAUGGUAUCCUCAUUUGCUCCCCAUUCUGUGAAAACAGUGCUCCUGUUGAAGCCUGCAGUGUGAAGGCAGGUAUGGGUAGUGACCGAAUUCAUUCCCUGACUCUGGAUAUGGCAAGAAAAGGCCAGGGGUCACCAUGUGCCUACUCGUUUUGUUCCUCUUAAAUGUCAAGUGUUGAAGCAGCCUUGGAGUAAUGAUAUUAAACAUGCAGCUACCAAAUUACAGUGUGAAGAAUGUAAUUUGCUUUUAAUUCAUGAAGUUGCAUUUGGUCAAACUCUUGGCUUGCAUCAAAAAGAGAGCUCACCCUUGCAUUUGGAAGGCUAUGAAAUUUUGGACUAAAGGUUUAUGAACUGUUUUCUUCCACUGAGAAGCAUUUGCAUUUUAUGACAUUAAGAAAGGCUUUUUUAUUUGUAUAGGUAGCUUGAGACUUCUUUGGUUUGUAUUUUGUUUUCUAGAAAAUUUAAUCCAGUCAGAUAAUAACUGAAUUAACUAUGUAGCAACACUUCUAUUGUAUUAUGCCCCCUAUUUCAGUUUUCACUUGACUUGUCUUGACUGUUUCCAUUUUAUUUAAUCCAUCUGUACUUUUACAAUUUGUGAUCUAAAAAGUCUGGUCUAUCCAGUGCAUUUCAUUGAUUCCAAAUCCUUAACAGAUUAUUUCAAAACAUCUAUUGUGUCUCAUUUGGCAGACAAAUAAUACCUGCUUGACCAUCUGUAUUUGUGUACAAUUAUUCCACCCAAGUACAUAAGACUUCCUUUCUCACCAUUUAGAAUGAAAAAUAUUUGUACUGUUGAAUAGAUUAAUUUUUAUUUUGUGGCCUGAAGUCCAUGACCCGGAUUUGAGUUAUAAACCUGUCAUGUGUCAGGGCUCAUUAUCCACUGAUUGCAUAAGCUAUUGUUACUAGGAUAAAUUUAGAAUUCAUCUGAAAAUCACAAUUAAUCAUUUGAGCAGCUCUACAAACAAGGUCAGCCAAAAUCUACUGUCUCUAAGUUCACAUACAUUUACAUUUGCUGCCGGAAUAUGUUGUGAGUUUUAGCUCCCUUGAUUUGUUUUAUAAUCAGAAAUAUCUCAUCUCAGAUUCAAAAUACUUUGUAUAGUUAGCUCACUAACUCAAGCAUGUUGGCGUGUCUUUUAAAGACUAGCGUAUUCUAAAUAUGUGCUUAGACAUUAAAGGAGUAAGGUCUGAAACAAUUACUAUUUAUAUCCUUCCGUUGCUUUCUCAAAACCCAGCAUUUUAUACUUAGAUAUUGUUUUCAAGAUCAUUAAGCUGACUCCUAAAAUGUUUUUCUUAUAAUGUUUUUGUUUUUUUCAAGUCCAAUAAUGCUCCAGGACUAUUUCCAUCUGGUAGUAAUAGUCCUGUUUAUUCUGGAACAUCUUGGUUUAUAUUAUGCCUCUGUGUCACAAAAUCUAUUGAAAUCAUGCAAAACACCAAUCUCUCUGCCAAAGUCAAUAAAAUUACUACUUGUUGAAGAAAACAGUAAACAACAGAAAUUCAUAAUGAUGUCAUUAACACAUCCUUUGUCAGCAGUUGGGAAA